UUCCGGGGACCGCAGGAGGAGGUCCGAGUGCGAGAUGCCUGAACUCUUGACCCUAGUCUACACCACAGUCUCCCAAGACCUCGGUAGACGGACCCGGCGUGACCCCCGACCUCAGCCCAGGCUUUCGCGGUAGCCCCGCCCCCGCCCGGUCGCCCACCCCACCCAACGUGCGCGCCAGGCGGGGGUGGGGGGGAGGGGCCCGCGCGUGCGCGGCUGGAGGCGGAGUGAUCCGGCGGCGCGCACGGCCUGGGGGGGUUCCCGCCAGAACCCAAAACCAGAGACCGGGUCGCGGGACUCGCGAGUCCGCGUCCGCGCCCGCCGGCGCCCUCACGUCAACAGGCCGCAAAAGGCUGAGGAAGAAAGGGUUCGAGAGCGCCAAGCCUCGGUCUCUCCCCCAAGUGGACUGUGGCGGGCACACGCCCGGGCUGUUCGUCUCAUGCACCCUUUCCUCUUCCUCUCCCCUGAGGGGAGGCAGGUUGGUGGGCGGGCAGAAGCGCACCUGGGUCCGUCCUCUCGGGGUUUGUUCGCUCACGCACGCGUGCGCAGAAGGGCAGGAGGGCGAGGAAGACGCGCGGAGACCAGAGGCCACCCGGCCUGACACCCUCCCCCCGCCCCCCGCUCGGGUCUCUAUGGGCGCGCGCAGGGCCGCAGCUAGAGCCGCCCCCGUGCUCGCACCGCUCCUGGUCCCGCCACGGAGAUGCGAUCAGUAAGUUGCAGGAAAAGGAGACGCUACUCCCAGCGACCCCGCCGCCGCCGCCGCCGCUCCCGAGGCCUCACCAAAAUGGCCGCCGCCUUCUCGGCCGCCACCGCCACUACCACCACUACCACCACCAAGGCUCGUUAUCGCUACCGCCGGAGCGGCCCGUCUUCUCGCGAUACACAGUAACUGGAGGCUGGAGGGGCGGGUAGGCUCGCGUGCUAGCGUAGGACUCUUGUCUGGAGCGCAAAGCAAGAUGGGAGUUGUAGUCAGUUCCCCAGUUCCGUGCUUGCCCGGCACGCUUCGUGGGAUCUGAAACCAGUCAACUCCGUGCUGCGUUGAAGCUGUACAGUGGGAACAUCCUUUGGGAGGUUUUUUUUGUUUUUGUUUUUGUUUUGUUUUGCAGAUCAGCCAGUGAAAUGAAACAAAUCAGUUUUGGAGCCUGAGCUCCAAGCUCCAAACUCCAAACUCGCUUUGUUUUCGUUUUUUUUUUUUAAAGACAAGGUCUCAUAAGGUAGCUUGGUGGCUGACCUGGACUCGAUAUGUAUAUCUGGCUAACCUUAAACUCAACAGAUGUUCCUGCCUCUGCCUAGUAUUAACGGUGUGCGCCACCACUACCAGCUGCAGUCGACUUUGUAGCAUUGGCUUCCAAAUUAUCCCCCCAACACACACAAACACACACAUAUAUCUGCAAUUGGCGUGCAGGUUUUCCACAUUAAGGACCCUUUUUAUGAGGCUGGGAAGAUGGCUCAGCAACUAAGAAUAUUGGCUGCUUCCUCUUCCAGAAGACCCAGUUUUAUUUCCAGCACUCAAAGCAACUCAUAACCAUCUGCAACUCCAGUUCCAGGGAAUCAGACACCCUCUAAUGACCUUAGAGGGCAAUGCACUAACACCGUGCAUAGACUUGCAUGCAAGUAAAAUAACCAUAAACAUCAAAUAAAAAUCCUUUUUAAAAAAUGUCUUGCCGGCCGUGGUGGCGCACGCCUUUAAUCCCAGCACUCGGGAGGCAGAGGCAGGCGGAUCUCUGUGACUUCGAGACCAGCCUGGUCUACAAGAGCUAGUUCCCAGACAGCCUCCAAAGCCACAGGGAAACCCUGUCUGGGGGGAGGUGGGGGGGAUGUCUUGGAGAAUCUGAUACUCCUUUCCCAUUUUAAGGACCUGUUUAUUGUUAGCAACAGUUCCAAGAAAUAUCUUGAGCCCUUGGUAAAUCAGAGACAGACAUGGGAAAAGCAAUUGUGGACACUGGGAAAUGGCAGUUGAAUAAAGACUGGUGUGGUGGCAUAUGCCUAUAAUCCCAGCACUUACUGGAAGACACUGGUAGAGGCCAGCCUGGACUGUUGCAUACUCGGUAUGUAUACACACACACACACCUUGGCUGUUACAUACUCCGUUUGUAUACACACACCCCUUAGCUCUUGCGUACUCAGUGUGUACACACACACACCCACACACCCCUUGGCUCUUGUAUACUUGGUACACACACCCCUAGUUAAUCUUCUAAAGUUCAAGAUUAUUCUGUCUUUAAAAAGACGUGUAAACUGGGCGUUGCUGGAGCAUGCCUUUAAUUACAGCACUCAGGAGGCUGGUGGAUCUCUGUGAGUUCGAAGCCAGCCUGGUCUACAAAGGGAGUUCCAGGACAGCCUCCAAAGCUACACAGAGAAACCCUG
ensembl:lncRNA